GAGUUUGACACCUCUGGAUUAAGGAGUUUGCUCACCCAAUUGAAGAAAAUGGAUCCAUAGAAACAACGGUGUUAAAACUUAAUCACAACAUGAUAUCCAUCUAUCCUGAAUGAAGAACGUACCUUCAUUAAGGUGUAAUUGCAACAUGAACGGCAAAUUACAGGGCAACUUGGUUCUUGAGGUUC